rnacentral:rRNA from 1 species
CCAGACUCCUACGGGAGGCAGCAGUGGGGGAUAUUGCACAAUGGGGGGAACCCUGAUGCAGCGACGCCGCGUGGGUGAAGGAGCGUUUCGGCGCGUAAAGCCCUAUCGGCAGGGAAGAAGCAAGACGGUACCUGACUAAGAAGCCCCGGCUAACUACGUGCCAGCAGCCGCGGUAAUACGUAGGGGGCAAGCGUUAUCCGGAUUCACUGGGUGUAAAGGGAGCGUAGACGGCCAUGCAAGCCUGGAGUGAAAGCCCGGGGCCCAACCCCGGGACUGCUCUGGGAACUGUGCGGCUGGAGUGCGGGAGGGGCAGGCGGAAUUCCUGGUGUAGCGGUGAAAUGCGUAGAUAUCAGGAGGAACACCGGCGGCGAAGGCGGCCUGCUGGACCGCGACUGACGUUGAGGCUCGAAAGCGUGGGGAGCAAACAGGAUUAGAUACCCCCGUAA